AUGGCUGUCCUGGUGCUGCUCCUCUGCCUGGUGACAUUUCCAAGCUGUGCCCUGUCCCAGAUACAGCUGAAGGAGUCAGGACCUGGCCAAGUGCAGCCGUCACAGACCCUUUCCCUCACCUGCACUGUCUCUGGAUUCUCAUUAACCAGCAAUGCUGUAAGCUGGAUCCGCCAGCCUCCAGGAAAGGGUCUGGAGUGGAUGGGACUAAUAGCAUAUAAUGGAAAUACAAAUUAUAAUUCAGCUCUUCAGUCCCGAAUCAGCAUCACCAGGGACACCUCCAAAAGCCAAGUUUUCUUAAAACUGAACAGUCUGCAAGCUGAUGACACAGCCAUGUAUUUCUGUGCCAGAGACACAGUGAGAGAACUCCCGUGUGAGCCUGCACAAAAAACUCCAUAUGGAGACACUCCUGACCAGCAGGGGGUGGUGAAGACCAACAGGUUCUCCCAAGACCAGUACGUGGUUGCUUAA